AGCCUGGGCAACAGAGAGAGACUUUGUCAAAAAAAAAAAAAAUCACAGCAGGCUGUCCCAGAAUCAAGUGGGCUUAUCCCUAGACCUUAGGCUACGUAGUGGAUAUUGUAGGACCAGCCCAAAUUCCUCAUUUUGAAAUGGGGAAACUGAGGCUCAGAGUACGGCCCUGGUUUAUCCAAGGUCACUGUCUUAGUCCAUUUGCAUUGCUAUAAAGGAAUAGUUGAGGCUGGGUAACUUACAAAGAAAAGAGGUUUAUUUGGAUCAUGGUUCGGCAGGCUGUACAGGAAGUGUGGCACCAACAUCUCCUUCUGAUAAAGACCUUAGGGAGCUUCCACUCAUGGUGGGGUGGAAGGAGAGUCACUUUUGGUUUCCUUGACUCUGUUUGGUAAAGGCUGUCCUAAUUGUAUGCAAGAGAUGGCAGACACAGGCAGGCAGAGGAGAGAUCGAUCUUUCAAACCAGUUCAGGCAGACUCGACUUCUCCCCAGCGGAGCGGAGCAGGUCACUGCCACACAGAUCUGCAGUGUGGUCUCCGGGAGCAAAAGGCAUGUGGAACACAUCAACUAUAUGUGGCCAUCAGAAAACUUGCUCUCAUAAAGGUCUCUCUCCAUCCUGCACCUACCCCCAUAUUCUGAGGUGGAAACUGAGGCUCAGCCAGGCUCAGUGACCUGCCCGAGGCCAACAGUGAGAGAGAACCCAAGUUCCCAGCUCCAGCCCCAGGACAGUCACUGAGACUCAGUAUUGACUUUCAGGUCCCACAUGGGUUUCAGCCUCACAGAGACCUGAAUUCUGACCACUGGGCCGUGGUCCCUGUUCGGAAGCCCUGCUGACAGGGAGUUGAGUGGGGCAUGCCUCCAAGUGAUGGCCCCUGGACCAAGGCCAGGGCAUCUGUAUCCAAAGUGGGGAGAGUUCUCUGACACCCCUCACGCUGUGUGCCAAGGCCCCACACACAUAUGCUAUCAUUUCCAGGGCCUCCUGCCCUCUGUUUCCCCUGACUGGGGAGAAGAAAAUAUUAGUGUGGCUGCCCCAGGGGUCUGAGGUCUGCUGCCCCUCUGUGUGUGGCAUUGCCCUAAUCUCCCAGCCCUGCCCUCCCACAGGCUGCCCUGCUCCCCCGCCCCUGCACUUCCUUAGGAAGAUGCACAGGGAAGGAGGUACAGCGCCUGCAAAUGAGAAAUCCAUCUCCUCUCUGCUCCAGCCCUCUGCCUUGGGAACUGCAGAAGGCCCCUCUCCUGACCAAGCCCUCCCGGCAAGAAAGAACUCUCCUUGAAAACAUGGUUCUUUGCAGCUGCCCAGGACAGCUUAGUGUGUGUGGUCUGGAGGCUUCCUCUAACUGUGAAUCCAUUGACCUUGGAAGAGGGGACACCUGUGGUGGGCAGAUUCUAAAAUGGCCCCAAGAUUCCUGCCCCUGCGUGUCAACACCCAUUUAAUUUCUUUCGCUGGGCUAUGGGCAGGACCCGUGAAUACGCUGCGGAAUCACCCUUGUCAUCAGGUUACUGUACCUGACAAAGGGGCCUGGGCAGCUAGAAUUGAAGUCCUUGAUCAUUUGGCUUUGAUUUAAUAAAAAGGGAGAUUAUCCUAAGUGGGCCUGACUUUAUUAGGUGAGACCUUAACGGGAACACCUCCAAAGCUUUCCUGUUGGUCUGGGAGAAAGCAAGCAGCCACACCCCUGGAGGGCACCACAGGGCCAGGGACUGCCUUCCGGGUCUCUAGCAGCUGAGUGUGGCCUCUGGUUGACAGUCCUCAAGGAAGCAGGUACCUCAGUGCUACUACCACAAGGUGCUGGAUUCUGCCAACCAUUCAAAUGAGCCAGCCAGCUCCCACCAUGAUUUCAGUCCAGGGUAACCCUGGCCAGAGGACCUCACCCCACUGCACCUGGAAUCUUGGACCCUGGAAACUGAGAUGACAGGUUUGCAUUGUUUUAAUCCACUAAGCUUCGUAGCUAUCCAAAACUAACAUGGCCCUCUCCACCCCCAGGUUCCUCCUCCUGAUAAAUCUCUCAGAGCUCAGCCUGGCAUGACAGUGGGCAGGGAUAUAUCUCAGUUCAAGCAUGUUUGAUAGGAAAAGUUAAUCAUCAUGCUGACAACAUAACAUUGAAGCAAAAAUAAAUCCGUUACUAUCAUGGUUGUGGGACAGAGGUGGGACCAAUGAGAGAGGGAGACGGAGAGAGAGACAGAUGGACACAGAGAGAAACAAAGAAAGAAAAAGACACACACAGAAAGAGAGACAGAGAAAGAGAGAGAGAAAGAGAGAGAGACUCAGAGACAGACUCCUCAGCUGUCACAGACACAGUGCUUUUGUUACAAAUGCUUUCAUCUUGCUUCUGCUUUACUCAUUCAUUUAUUUGUAAACUUUGUCGUCCUAAUAGUGCCAAGAAUGAAAUAAAGCUUAGUAAAUUAAUCCUCACUACUUCUGAUUAGAACUUUAUUUUUCUUUCUGGGGAAUAGCUGGUCCCUGCAGACAAGGCAGCUAGCUCUGGGGGGAGAGCAAGCCUAGAUGGAGAGGCUCUCUGGACGUGGCACCGUGUAGCUCAGCAGCAGGCAUGGCCCUUGGGCCGCCUGGGUGUGAACAUGUUUCCCACUCUGUAAAGUGCCCCAGAAGCAAUAAUUUUGUAGAAGGUAAAUAUCUCCAUUUUGAACCUGGAAAACGGAAAAUAAGGAUGGCAGUUGAGUCAUUUGCUGUGGUUUCAAGGUGCAUCUGGGACCUCAUGUAUAGUGUUGCCUUUCUUAGGCCAUGGUCAGGGCA
rnacentral:lncRNA from 10 species